rnacentral:tRNA from 1 species
GGUUAUGGCUCAGUGGUAGAGUGCUCGCCUCGCAUGUGCAAGGCCCUGGGUUCAAUCCUCAGCACCA